rnacentral:rRNA from 1 species
CAGCCGCCGCGGUAAUACAGAGGGUGCAAGCGUUAAUCGGAAUUACUGGGCGUAAAGCGCGCGUAGGUGGUUUGUUAAGUUGAAUGUGAAAUCCCCGGGCUCAACCUGGGAACUGCAUCCAAAACUGGCAAGCUAGAGUAGGGCAGAGGGUGGUGGAAUUUCCUGUGUAGCGGUGAAAUGCGUAGAUAUAGGAAGGAACACCAGUGGCGAAGGCGACCACCUGGGCUCAUACUGACACUGAGGUGCGAAAGCGUGGGGAGCAAACAGGAUUAGAUACCCGAGUAGUCCCUGUCUCUUAUAC